CAGUGGGUUUGUUCAUGGGCAGAAGGGGGUUUAAAUAGUAAGAAACAUCUUUUGGAAAGAUACUGUGCUAUAGAUUGCCUUUACAUCUAGUGUUGGGGAGGAGAAUGUUUUUCUCUUUGUAUGCCAUUUAUCAGCAAGCACAGUGGCUCAGAGCAAUUUUGUUCUUUCCUCAUGUCCCAGGUGUCUCAAAAUAGAUUUUUCACUUCUGCCAGCUGGAGUGAGCUUUGGAACACUACCUGAUGCUUGGUCUUGAUGAGUUGCUCUUUAUUGACUGUAUUUGUGAAGACAGUGAGGUGGGAGAAGCAGAAAUGUGGCGGUAAUGAGUCAUGUUCUCCGUUCUGCUCUGAACUUCAUCCAUUUUUGAUUUAAGCUUUAUGUGUGUGAGACAUAGAGGGUUUCCCACAGUAAGGAAGCCAGAGGCACAUCUACAACAGUUCUAAUAAGUGCAAGUAUGAGAUUUUUCAGUGCUAAAAUGAGCAAGAGGAGGGAUAAGGAUGAACAGGAAAUAUCUUCCUCUGCUGAA